rnacentral:rRNA from 1 species
CCCUUAGAUGUUCUGGGCCGCACGCGUGCUACACUGAGUGGAUCAGCGGGUCAGGUUGCGCGAAAGCGUUUCCUAAUCUUUAAAUCCGCUCGUGAUGGGGAUUGACGGUUGCAAUUUUCUGUCAUGAACGAGGAAUACCUUGUAAGCGCGGGUCAUCAUCCCGCGCUGAAUACGUCCCUGCCCUUUGUACACACCGCCCGUCGCUGCUACCGAUUGAGUGGUCCGGUGAAUUAUUCGGACCGGUGGACUGUGGGGUAACUCGCGGUCUGCUGGGAAGUCUUGUGAACCUUAUCACUUAGAGGAAGCAGAAGUCGUAACA